GCCGCGGUGCUGGAAUUGGCAGACAGGUAUCGCUCAAAACGAUAUGGGGCUUUGCUCCGUGAGGGUUCAAGUCCCUCCCGCGGCA
rnacentral:tRNA from 1 species